CGAGAGAGAGGGCGAGAGAGAGAGGGAGAGGGAGUGAGAGAGUGAGAGAGCGAGAAAGAAUAAAAGGAAAGAAGAUUUUCUCUAUGUAUAUAAAGAUGGCUACGUUAGCAAACGGACAGGCUGACAAUACGAGCCUCAGUAACAACAGUCACGGCAGCCCGGGCAGUAACGGGCACAUGAACGGAUUAAACCAUAGCCCGGGGAACCCGUCUACCAUUCCCAUGAAGGACCAUGAUGCCAUCAAGCUGUUCAUUGGGCAGAUCCCCCGAAACCUGGACGAGAAAGACCUCAAGCCCCUCUUCGAGGAGUUUGGCAAGAUCUACGAGCUGACGGUUCUGAAGGACAGGUUCACUGGCAUGCACAAAGGCUGUGCCUUCCUCACAUACUGCGAGCGGGAAUCAGCCCUGAAGGCCCAGAGUGCACUGCACGAACAGAAGACAUUGCCCGGGAUGAACAGGCCCAUCCAGGUGAAGCCUGCGGACAGCGAGAGCCGAGGAGGUCAUGACUAUGGACGUGAAAGGAGGACGAGGGAAGUAAAUAGCUGGCUAUAUAGAUGGUGUCAAAGAACAGGAUUUGUUUUUCUGGAUCAUUGCCAUGGAAACCAGAAAGAAGACAGAAAACUCUUUGUUGGCAUGCUCAACAAGCAGCAAUCUGAGGAUGAUGUCCGCCGGCUCUUUGAGGCCUUCGGAAACAUUGAAGAAUGCACUAUCCUCCGGGGACCAGAUGGCAACAGCAAAGGGUGUGCCUUCGUGAAAUAUUCCUCCCAUGCUGAGGCCCAAGCUGCCAUUAAUGCCCUGCACGGCAGCCAGACCAUGCCGGGAGCUUCAUCCAGCCUGGUCGUCAAGUUUGCAGACACGGACAAGGAGCGCACAAUGAGGCGGAUGCAGCAAAUGGCGGGCCAGAUGGGCAUGUUCAACCCCAUGGCCAUCCAGUUCGGGGCAUAUGGAGCCUAUGCACAGGCACUGAUGCAGCAGCAGGCGGCCAUCAUGGCAUCCGUAGCACAGGGAGGCUACCUGAACCCCAUGGCAGCCUUCGCCGCAGCCCAGAUGCAGCAGAUGGCAGCACUCAACAUGAAUGGCCUCGCGGCCGCCCCCAUGACCCCAACCUCAGGUGGUAGUACCCCUCCGGGCAUCACUGCACCAGCUGUGCCUAGCAUCCCAUCCCCAAUUGGGGUGAACGGAUUUACUGGCCUUCCCCCACAAGCUAAUGGGCAGCCUGCAGCUGAAGCCGUGUUUGCCAAUGGAAUCCACCCAUACCCAGCACAGAGCCCCACGGCGGCCGACCCCCUGCAGCAGGCCUACGCAGGAGUGCAGCAGUAUGCAGGUCCCGCUUACCCUGCUGCCUAUGGUCAGAUAAGCCAAGCGUUCCCUCAGCCGCCUCCAAUGAUCCCACAGCAACAGAGAGAAGGGCCAGAGGGCUGUAACCUGUUCAUCUACCAUCUGCCCCAGGAGUUUGGGGAUGCUGAGCUGAUGCAGAUGUUCCUCCCUUUCGGUAAUGUCAUCUCCUCGAAAGUGUUUGUGGAUCGGGCGACUAACCAAAGUAAAUGCUUUGGCUUCGUGAGCUUCGACAACCCGGCCAGCGCGCAGACGGCCAUUCAGGCCAUGAACGGCUUCCAGAUCGGCAUGAAGCGGCUCAAGGUGCAGCUCAAGCGGCCGAAAGACGCCAAUCGCCCCUACUGAGCGCCGGCGGGAGCGUCCCCCGGGGGAAACCAGGACUCGCACAGGGCCAGUCAAAUCCACCACAGUCUCGCGCUGAGCUAGGAAUAAAGUUCACGUAAUCACAUGAGAGUGGAGAAUACAGUCCCCCAUCCGGCAGGAUGCUGAAUGGGCUACAUUAAAAAAAACAAACCUAUAUAUAUAUAUAUAUAAAUGAGAACUGUUGGAUGACACCUUUGACAUAUCAGCCAAUAUCAAUAUCAAUCAAGCUGAAGACUCCAGACACUCUCUUUGACUGUAACAUUUCUUCAAGAAAAGGAUCUCGUCUAUGGAGUUCAGAGGAUAUGCACUUGGAGAAAAAAUAUACAUAUGAUUAAAGAAGAUGAUGAAGAAGAAAAAAACAAACAUAAAUAUACACAAAAGGAAACUAACUUUAAAAAAUAAAACAAAAAUAGACCAGACAAGGAGGAUGAAAGGCCAGAAAUUGGGAAGAGAUGCUGGUUAUGAAUCCAUGGGCUUUUUCUGCCAAUGGUGCCUCCUUGGGUGAGGCAGGCUGGAUGCCAGCCAUUGGGCAAGGCGGGGCAUAGUCCCCGGGAGUGGCCAAAAUAGUGGCCACUGAGCAUCUGUAUCUGUCAUUCCUUUAGCUAUUUAGGGACCAAAGGACCAAACUUUUUAUUGCAGACGUGUAGCUCUAUGUCAAAUAGAGGGGGAGUGGGGGGGGAACAAGCCUCCUUCCUGCCUCAGGGCUGUUCCCAAAGCAGCCGAGAAUGAUUCUAAGAAAUAUGUAAUAAAAAAAUACAAAAAAGCAAACAAAAAAAAAAACAAAAAAGAAACAAAAAAAGAAAAAAAUCUGCUUCAAUGCUUUUAAACAGGCAAGAUAAUAGUUCUUUGAUACUAUGAGAGGCGCUUUGAUGACCUUUAUUCGAGUCUAUGAACCUUUCCUAUGGUUUUCUGUAUCGUAUGGAUGGAUGGAGCUUUUAAGACAAGCAAGAUGGAUAUUUGGAGAAAGCAAAAUUAAAAAAAAAACAAUCUAUAAAUAUCCUUGAGAUGGAAGGAAACCAAGUAGGGAAAUAAAUAAGGGAUAUAUACAAGGAAAGAUAGUUGUUGUGAAAAGUCUGUAAAUGCUUCUAACUCUAACCCCUACCCCUUUUAAAAUCCUAAUAGUUGUACAGAAUUAAAAAAAAAAGAAAAGUUUAAAAUACCUAUAUAAUAGAAGAAAAAUUAGAGGAAAGAAAAAAAGCAAAAAAAAAAACCUAUAGAAGUUAGCGUUCCUGCUAAAAAUCCAAGAUGUUGUAGAACUGUAACUUUUGUAGAGUUUAGACUGAGCAUCAAUCCCCCUUCUCUCUGCCAAUCGCUGUUGGACGCUGUUAUUUGCUGAGGGGGACCCUGGGCCACUCCUUUCCGAAACUGCGAGCAUUCCAGCUUCGUCCAGCCGAUGAAUUGAAAGUCACUCAGUUCUCGCUAACCUGAUGGACAGACAGAUGGACGGAGGCCGCCAGGUGGCAUGGGGGAAGCGACGCAAGGAAGUCCGGGUUGUCUCUGUCUCUGACCUCUUCCUCACCUUGAGACCCACAGCUAUAGACUAAAUGCUUUGCUCCCCCAAGGAGCUGCUCUCUCUGCAAGCCCUAACCACCUUCUGCUUCAAUAGCUUCCAUGCUCACUCUAGAGACUUUCAGGGCAAGGGAGAACUGGGAACUUUCAUCUUAAAAUGACACAAACAAAAACCUUAAAAAACAAAAACAAAAAAAAGAAAGAAAAACACAAUCUUUGAAGAAUUUCUGAAACUGUUUACAAGGAAUUUUGAAAAACAGGGAUGUUUAAAAUGAUGCCGGCUCUGUUUUUCUGUAAAUAAAUUUGCAUAUUUUGUAGGACUUUUAAUUGUAAUGAUAGAGAAAAAACAAGGAAAACUAUUUAAUGAAAGCACGAUAUUUAUCUUUGGUAAAUGACUUUAGAGCAGUUAAAAAGACAUUGAUUAAAAACUCAGAAUCAGAAAAAAACACUGAAUUAUUUAAGAACACAUAUAUUUUAAAGUAUAUCAUAUUUAUUAUAAUUUAUUUCCACCAUUAGGAAGACUUACUUUGGCAUUCUGCCUUGACUCCCCCCUUGCUUGAGUACAGGCCACCUGGUGUGGUGGGGGGAUGGCGGUUUCUUCUCCAACUCUCCUGUUUUUUCUGUACUUUUUGGUUUAGAAGAUCAAGUUUCUCCUUUUCCUCUCAGGCCUCUUUCCUUUCUAUUUCAGUUGGUUUGUUUGUGGGUUUUUUUUGUUUGUUUUUUGUUUGUUUUUACUUUCCUCUCUCUGCUUUGGCUCCUCCUCUUUGGAAGUCCAGAUGUAAAAAAAAAACAGCUGCAGUUUGGUACAACUGCUCUUUUCACUCUCAAUUCCCUAAAACUCCUUGUAACCUUCUGUAACUAUUGGAUGACGCUUUCUCCAGCUUAGCCCUAAAUAAAGCACAGUUUAAAAAAAUAAAUAAAGCAAAACAGGAUCCUUCUUCAA